rnacentral:rRNA from 1 species
UGGGUAACCUGCCUCAAAGAGGGGAAUAGCCUCCCGAAAGGGAGAUUAAUACCGCAUAAUAUGUUUAGGUCGCAUGACUUUAACAUCAAAAGGAUUUUUCUUUUAAGAAAUUCCACUUUGAGAUGGACCCGCGGCGCAUUAGCUAGUUGGUGAGGUAACGGCUCACCAAGGCAACGAUGCGUAGCCGACCUGAGAGGGUNAUCGGCCACAUUGGAACUGAGACACGGUCCAGACUCCGUAGGAGG